rnacentral:rRNA from 1 species
AUGAAAGUAGUAGCUUGGAACUUUCAGGGACUGGGGAAUAGCCCGGAAGUUCGGGGGCUUCUGUAUCUUCAGAAGCGGGAGGACGCCGACAUCCUCUUCUUGUCGGAAACCAAGAUGGGUGAUAGGAGAAUGGAGAAAUUCAAGUGGAUGUUAGGAAUGAGUAAUAUGGCCGUAAGAUCCUAUGAAGGAAAAACUGGAGGUCUGGCUCUACUUGGAAGAAAGAGAUAA